rnacentral:rRNA from 1 species
CGGGAUAACACCUGGAAACAGAUGCUAAUACCGGAUAACAACAGAUGAUGCCUAUCAACUGUUUAAAAGAUGGUUCUGCUAUCACUCUUGGAUGGACCUGCGGUGCAUUAGCUAGUUGGUAGGGUAACGGCCUACCAAGGCGAUGAUGCAUAGCCGAGUUGAGAGACUGAUCGGCCACAUUGGGACUGAGACACGGCCCAAACUCCUACGGGAGGCAGCAGAG